rnacentral:rRNA from 1 species
AUUGAACGCUGGCGGCAUGCUUUACACAUGCAAGUCGAACGGCAGCACGGGGGCAACCCUGGUGGCGAGUGGCGAACGGGUGAGUAACACAUCGGAACGUGCCCAGUUGUGGGGGAUAACCUAUCGAAAGGUAGGCUAAUACCGCAUGAGCUCGGCGAGAGGAAAGCGGGGGACCCAGCGAUGGGCCUCGCGCGACUGGAGCGGCCGAUGUCCGAUUAGCUAGNGGUGGGGUAAAGGCUUACCAAGGCGACGAUCGGUAGCUGGUCUGAGAGGACGAUCAGCCACACUGGGACUGAGACACGGCCCAGACUCCUACGGGAGGCAGCAGUGAGGAAUAUCGCGCAAUGGGCGAAAGCCUGACGCAGCGACGCCGCGUGGGGGAUGAAGGUCUUCGGAUUGUAAACCCCUUUCGGGAGGGAGAUGGAACGAGCAAUCGUUCGGACGGUACCUCCAGAAGCAGCCACGGCUAACUUCGUGCCAGCCGCCG